GACGAAGGUGGCGAGUGUUGUUCGGAAUCACUGGGCAUAAAGCGCAUGUAGGCGGUGGCGUAAGUUGGGUGUGAAAUCCCUUGGCCUAACCGAGGAACUGCGCCCGAUAUUGUGUUGUUUGAGGAUCAAAGGGGUGCAUGGAAUUUCCGGUGGAGCGGUGAAAUGCGUUGAUAUCGGAAGGAACGUCGGCGGCGAAAGCGGUGCACUGGUUGGUCUCUGACGCUGAGGUGCGAAAGCCAGGGGAGCAAACGGG
rnacentral:rRNA from 1 species